rnacentral:tRNA from 4 species
GGCGCCAUAGCCAAGGGGUAAGGCCGAGGACUGCAAAUCCUCUAUCACCGGUUCAAAUCCGGUUGGCGCCUCCA